UCCUGGCUAGCUUCGGAAAUACACUAAAAUUGGAAUGAUACAGAGAAGAUUAGCAUGGGCCCCUGUGCAAGGAUGACUUGUUACCCUAUUAAUGUAAAGGAGAUGGUA